rnacentral:rRNA from 1 species
GCGGUCGCCUAACACAUGCAAGUCAGCGAGAACCAGGGCUUCGGCCCUGGGGACAGCGGCGAACGGGUGAGUAACACGUGGAUAACCUGCCCUCGGCACCGGAAUAGCCCGGGGAAACUCGGAUUAAUGCCGGAUAGCCCCACAUCCCUGCGGGGAACGUGGGAAAAGGUAGCUUCGGCCUCUGGCCGAGGAUGGGUUCGCGGUGGAUUAGCUUGUUGGCGGGGUAACGGCCCACCAAGGCGACGAUCCAUAGCUGGUCUGAGAGGACGAUCAGCCACACUGGGACUGAGACACGGCCCAGACUCCUACGGGAGGCAGCAGUGGGGAAUCUUGCGCAAUGGGCGAAAGCCUGACGCAGCGACGCCGCGUGCGGGAAGAAGGCCUUCGGGUUGUAACCCGCUUUCAGGAGGGACGAAGCCACUCGGGUUAAUAGCCCAGAGGGUGACGGUACCUCCAGAAGAAGCCCCGGCUAACUACGUGCCAGCAGCCGCGGUAAUACGUAGGGGGCAAGCGUUGUCCGGAUUCAUUGGGCGUAAAGAGCGUGUAGGCGGCCAGGUAGGUCGGUUGUGAAAACUGGAGGCUCAACCUUCAGAGGUCGACCGAAACCA